AUCAAGUUGCAUUAAUCGGCAGCCGUUGUAAUACCCCAGUGUCUUUCGACAUAGGCCUCUUCCAUUCCCUUCCAAAGUGUUCUGUCUUUGGUUUUUCUCUGCCACGUAGUUUCAGGGACGUG